rnacentral:tRNA from 2 species
GGCCCGCUAGCUCAAUCUGGCAGAGCAGCUGACUCUUAAUCAGUAGGUUACAGGUUCGAGUCCUGUGCGGGUCACCA